rnacentral:rRNA from 1 species
GACGAACCGUGCGAACGUUGUUCGGAAUCACUGGGCUUAAAGGGCGCGUAGGCGGGCAAGCAAGUCCGGGGUGAAAUCUUUCGGCUCAACCGGAAAAGUGCCUUGGAUACUGCUUGUCUGGAGGGAGGUAGGGGCCCGUGGAACUUCCGGUGGAGCGGUGAAAUGCGUUGAUAUCGGAAGGAACGCCGGUGGCGAAGCGAUCUGCUGGACCUCCGCUGACGCUGAGGCGCGAAAGCCCAGGGGAGCAAACGGG